rnacentral:rRNA from 2 species
UCGGGAAUUUUGGGCAAUGGGCGAAAGCCUGACCCAGCAACGCCGCGUGAAGGAUGAAAUCCCUCGGGAUGUAAACUUCGCAAGAUUGGGAAGAAUUAGUAGGGGUUAAUACCCCCUAUGAUGACGGUACCUUUUGUAAGCUCCGGCUAACUCCGUG